CCUCCGAGCUGGACAUGAGAGACUUUCCUCCGUCCAGAGGGGACAGCUGGUUCUGUUUGUUGCCGCCUGCGUUGCUGUUUUCACUGUUCUCUCUGGAAAUGAAGGGGAAGAAGAAGAAGAAAAAGAAGGGGAAAAUCAGAGGGCUGAGAUGAGAAAAGGAGGCCUAAUGAACUCCAGGUUGCCAGGCAUGUGCAAACGAUCACCGCAGGUUUGCAGAGGGCUGCACCGGGGUUGCUGGAUUACAGCAUAUGCCAGUUUCUCUGUCCCAUGUCCUCACAGUUUGGAUACACGGGACUUUUAAACGUCGGACAUGUGUUUUUCAGUCUGUCAUAAACUUACAUUUCAUCACAGACAUGUUGUGUUGCUAAAAUCUUGAAGGAGAGAUCAUUUUUAAAAAGUUACCAGGCGUCUCAAACAUAAAUUCCCAAUAAAGAAUGAAAAAAAAAAAAACCUGCUUAUAUGUUUUUAUAAAUAUAAACUUUUAUUGCAGUAUGGAGAUUUAGAAAAAUACAUUCACAUAAUUUCAGAUAACAAACAUAUAAUUCAAACUAAGAUUUUAAAAAACAAAACAAACAAAAAAAAAAGACCAUCGCUUUUUUACUAUUUGCCCACAACUUUAUGUUUUUGGUGAAUGACAUUAAAGCACUGAGGAUGAUUUCACUGAAAUGUCCACUCAGCUCGGUGCCGUAAAAUCCUGACAAGGAAAAGUGUUACAAGUCCACUAGCAUGACGACAUGAGAUUCACUGAUAAAUGUGUACGGUGUGCGUUGGCUGUAAGGUUGAAAUGUGCUAUUAUGGUCAUGUGUGACAGCAAGAACUUGAGGCUCCUGUUGUGAAAAGCGCACUUGACAAAUGGGCUCCACGCUCACACUCAACUGACACCCAACAAAUGUGCCAGCGAUGGCGGCGGUGGUAAAUCUCCGAAGCUGCUAUAUUUUACUGCCUGUGUGCGCCGACGCAAGAGCUACAGCUGGGCUUACUUUUAGUGUUAUUCACAAAACAAAAAAAGUAAAAAAGGCACUAGUGUCCAAAACACUGUGAUUACAAUCUUUCUUUUUUUUUUUUUUUAAUAGGUGGGACUAUAAAAAAAAAAAGAAGAUAUGUAACGUCUGUACUUUUGUUCCUUUUCUUGCACAAGCAUACACACUGACAUUUGGAGAGACACAUCAAAAUGAAACGUGAUAUAGUACAGCGUCGUCACAUCUAGUUAACAUACUGUGAGUUGCAGCAUUAUAAACAACACAUGAUGGACAAGAUGUUUACCGGCAGCGCGACCUUUGGAUCAUCAUUCAUAUCUUCGUCUCACUGGCUGAUGGUGAGGCUUGAAAUAGGAGUCAUUGCUGAGAUAGUGUGCAUUUGUUGAGGUGUGUCACAUGUGGCAUGCCCUCCGACACAAAGCCCGUUUGAUUAUGGUAGUGCAAACGCCAAAACGGAGCAACGCCGCGGUGUGUUUUACAUAACAGAAAGGCACAUUCGUCUUAAACUCCCCUCCCAUGUUCGGAACUCCUUAGUCAUUUGGUGUGGUUUAAAGCACGGAAGCAGGGGUUCGCAGUGAUUUGAGAGGCAUUUGGAGAAUUUAAAGUGCUUACUGAAGGACACUUAUUCCUAAAUCAGCAGCUUCGUGUGUUUAUUGACCUAUUCUCUGUACGUGCUCCAGUCCUUCAGUGAGGCUGUUGCUGUUUGACUGACCAUGUUCACAGAGGCACUCUCUCCCCCCUCUCUCUCCCUCCCUCCACUUCCAGAAUGACCUUUUUGGUUUGACCCAGAUGACGCAUUUAGUUUGGAGGAACAUCCCGGUCACAUGACCCGUGGAAUUCCAGCACCUGCUCCUGCACAUCAAAUCCACUCAACAGGAAGUAGCAGGUGUUGUCUAUAAAAAUGCACAUUUAAACAUGGCUCAAAUACGUACAGCGACUUCUUCUGUUAGCACAUAACAGUCGUAAUGUUUCGUCUCGUGAACGGGGGUUUUUAAAACGUGUCACAGGCUUCUUUUAUUUUUUUUUGUGAUAAACUGAUAAAGCCCACCCACAAGGCUUCUCCUCUGACUAGAGUGCAUUGUAAAAGUCAAAUGAACAAAAAAUAAU